UAGUCCACGCCGUAAACGAUGAUUACUCGUUGUUGGCGAUAUAUUGUCAGCGACUGAGCGAAAGCAUUAAGUAAUCCACCUGGGGAGUACGUUCGCAAGAAUGAAACUCAAAGGAAUUGACGGGGGCCCGCACAAGCGGAGGAACAUGUGGUUUAAUUCGAUGAUACGCGAGGAACCUUACCUGGGCUUAAAUGUAGCGUGACCGUACCUGAAAAGGUAUUUCCCUUCGGGGCAGGUUACAAGGUGCUGCAUGGCUGUCGUCAGCUCGUGCCGUGAGGUGUCGGGUUAAGUCCCAUAACGAGCGCAACCCCUAUUGUUAGUUGCCAGCGGGUAAUGCCGGGAACUCUAGCGAGACUGCCACCGUAAGGUGAGAGGAAGGUGGGGAUGACGUCAAGUCAGCACGGCCCUUAUGUCCAGGGCUACACACGUGUUACAAUGGCCAGUACAAAGGGCAGCGACCUGGUGACAGGGAGCUAAUCUCGAAAACUGGUCUCAGUUCGGAUCGGAGUCUGCAAC
rnacentral:rRNA from 1 species